rnacentral:lncRNA from 1 species
CCGUUGCUUAAUUGACAAAUAAAAUCCCUGAAUUUUUGCUCAUACAAUCGAUUGUCUGACCAACACAAUCGAUUGUUUGUGGACCGUUCAAAAAACAGACUCCUGAUUUUAAGGGAAACAAUCAAUUGUAAAACCUGUAUAAUUGAUUGUUCUUCAACGUUCAAAAAUCAAUUUAAGAUUUUGUGGGAAUGGUCUGAAUAUAAUCGAUUGUAUAAAAACCAUAAUCGAUUAUUCUGAUUAUAAUCUAUUGUUAAAAACAUAUAGUCGAUUAUUUAGCUGAUUGAAAAAUUCAGUUUAAGUACUGUCUCAAUACAAUCGAUUGUUAGAAGUAUAUAAUCGAUUGUUUNNN